rnacentral:rRNA from 1 species
AACGAACGCUUGCUGCAUGCUUUAUACAUGCAAGUCGAACGAAGGCCCUAGCUUGCUAGGUGUCCUUAGUGGCGCACGGGUGAGUAACACGUGGGAACAUACCUCAUAGUACGGAAUAACUGCGGGAAACUGUAGCUAAUACCGUAUAUUCCAGAAAUGGGAAAGAUUUAUCGCUAUGAGAUUGGCCCGCGCAAGAUUAGCUUGUUGGUAAGGUAAUGGCUUACCAAGGCUCCGAUCUUUAGCUGGUUUGAGAGGAUGAUCAGCCACACUGGGACUGAGACACGGCCCAGACUCCUACGGGAGGCAGCAGUAGGGAAUAUUGGACAAUGGGGGAAACCCUGAUCCAGCAAUGCAGCGUGAGUGACGAAGGCCUUAGGGUUGUAAAACUCUUUCAUCGGUGAGGAUAAUGACAGUAGCCGAAGAAGAAGGACCGGCUAAUUCCGUGCCGGCAGCCGCGGUAAUACGGAAGGUCCUAGCGUUGUUCGGAAUUACUGGGCGUAAAGCGCAUGUAGGCGGAACAAAAAGUUAGAAGUGAAAUCCCUGGGCUCAACCUAGGAAUGGCUUUUAAAACUUUUGUUCUGGAAUUCAGGAGAGGAAAAUGGAAUUUCCAGUGUAGAGGUGAAAUUCGUAGAUAUUGGAAGGAACACCAGUGGCGAAGGCGAUUUUCUGGACUGAUAUUGACGCUGAGAUGCGAAGGCAUGGGUAGCAAACGGGAUUAGAUACCCCGGUAGUCCAUGCAGUAAACGACGGGUGCUAGUCGUCGGACUUUUGUUCGGUGUCGUAGCUAACGCGUUAAGCACCCCGCCUGGGGAGUACGGUCGCAAGAUUAAAACUCAAAUAAAUUGACGGGGACCCGCACAAGCAGUGGAGCAUGUGGUUUAAUUCGACGCAACGCGAAGAACCUUACCAGCGUUUGACAUGGGAAGUGCCGGUUACAGAAUGGUAACCUUCAGUUCGGCUG